rnacentral:rRNA from 1 species
GCUAUACACGCAGUCGAGCGAUGAUUAAAGAUAGCUUGCUAUUUUUAUGAAGAGCGGCGAACGGGUGAGUAACGCGUGGGAAAUCUGCCGAGUAGCGGGGGACGACGUUUGGAAACGAACGCUAAUACCGCAUAACAAUGAGAAUCGCAUGAUUCUUAUUUGAAAGAAGCAAUUGCUUCACUACUUGAUGAUCCCGCGUUGUAUUAGCUAGUUGGUAGUGUAAAGGACUACCAAGGCGAUGAUACAUAGCCGACCUGAGAGGGUGAUCGGCCACACUGGGACUGAGACACGGCCCAGACUCCUACGGGAGGCAGCAGUAGGGAAUCUUCGGCAAUGGGGGCAACCCUGACCGAGCAACGCCGCGUGAGUGAAGAAGGUUUUCGGAUCGUAAAACUCUGUUGUUAGAGAAGAACGUUAAGUAGAGUGGAAAAUUACUUAAGUGACGGUAUCUAACCAGAAAGGGACGGCUAACUACGUGCCAGCAGCCGCGGUAAUACGUAGGUCCCAAGCGUUGUCCGGAUUUAUUGGGCGUAAAGCGAGCGCAGGUGGUUUCUUAAGUCUGAUGUAAAAGGCAGUGGCUCAACCAUUGUGUGCAUUGGAAACUGGGAGACUUGAGUGCAGGAGAGGAGAGUGGAAUUCCAUGUGUAGCGGUGAAAUGCGUAGAUAUAUGGAGGAACACCGGACGCGAAAGCGGCUCUCUGGCCUGUAACUGACACUGACGCUCGAAAGCGUGGGGAGCAAACAGGAUUAGAUACCCUGUAGUCCACGCCGUAAACGAUGAGUGCUAGCUGUAGGAGCUAUAAGUUCUCUGUAGCGCAGCUAACGCAUUAAGCACUCCGCCUGGGGAGUACGACCGCAAGG